rnacentral:lncRNA from 1 species
GUACACAGGACAGAACAGGAUGAUCUUUCGAGUGCCCUUCUACCUGCAGGGGUAUAUGGUGAGGACAGUUUCCACACCGUAAGUCAACACAAGAUACUGCCACCUUCAGCGGGUCAGGCCACGAGAGGUCAAUGGUGCCUACCUCCCCACUGCUUCCUUCCUCCCUCCUGUCCGCGAUGGUGCGCGCCAGGGCCCCGCGUUACCGCUUCCUUUUCAGGGCUGUCCCGAUACGCAUCCCUUCCAAUAAAUGAAGAUUUCCAUCUCAGUGAACAAAAACAAGUCAACGCACCAACAAAAUGGGCUACCUUCCAGGGUUGGUCUGCUGACAGAUUAAAAAGUGUGUCAACACAGCUUUAUAUUACCAAACAUUGCAAAGCAGAAGCCUUUGUUUGUUUUGUUUUGCUUUGGUUUUUUGUAUCUGAUUACUUCUUGGUUAUUACACUUGUAAAUCAAAC